UACGGAGGAUGCAAGGCGUUAUCCGGAAUGAUUGGGCGUAAAGCGUCCGCAGGUGGCUAUGUAAGUCUGCUGUUAAAGAGUGAGGCUCAACCUCAUAAAAGCAGUGGAAACUACAUGGCUAGAGUGCGUUCGGGGCAGAGGGAAUUCCUGGUGUAGCGGUGAAAUGCGUAGAUAUCAGGAAGAACACCGGUGGCGAAAGCGCUCUGCUAGGCCGCAACUGACACUGAGGGACGAAAGCUAGGGGAGCGAAUGGG
rnacentral:rRNA from 1 species